rnacentral:rRNA from 1 species
GUAAAACGUAGGGGGCGAGCGUUGUCCGGAAUUAUUGGGCGUAAAGAGCUCGUAGCCGGUAGUUCAAGUCAGGUGUGAAAGCCGACGGCUUAACCGGAGACUGCACUUGAUACUGGGCUGCUAGAGGUAAGGAGAGGAAAGUGGAAUUCCUAGUGUAGCGGUGAAAUGCGUAGAUAUUAGGAGGAAUACCAGUGGCGAAGGCGACUUUCUGGACUUAAACUGACGCUGAGGAACGAAAGCGUGGGGAGCAAACAGGAUUAGAUACCCUGGUAGUCCACGCCGUAAACGAUGAGUGCUAGGUGUCGGGUAGAAAUAUUCGGUGCCGCAGCUAACGCAAUAAGCACUCCGCCUGGGGAGUACGUACGCAAGUAUGAAACUCAAAGGAAUUGACGGGGACCCGCACAAGCAGCGGAGCAUGUGGUUUAAUUCGAAGCAACGCGAAGAACCUUACCAGGGCUUGACAUGCCCCUGACCGCGCUAGAGAUAGCGAAUUAUCCUUUCGGGGAUACAGGGGACACAGGUGGUGCAUGGUUGUCGUCAGCUCGUGUCGUGAGAUGUUGGGUUAAGUCCCGCAACGAGCGCCAACCCUUGUAUUUAGUUGCCAGCAUUAAGUUGGGCACUCUAGAUAGACUGCCGUGGACAACACGGAGGAAGGUGGGGAUGACGUCAAAUCAUCAUGCCCUUUAUGUCUGGGGCUACACACGUGCUACAAUGGUCGGUACAACGAGCAGCAAGCUAGUGAUAGCAAGCGAAUCUCUAAAAGCCGAUCCCAGUUCGGAUUGUAGGCUGCAACUCGCCUACAUGAAGUCGGAGUUGCUAGUAAUCGCGAAUCAGCAUGUCGCGGUGAAUGCGUUCCCGGGCCUUGUACACACCGCCCGUCACACCAUGAGAGCUGGCAACACCCGAAGUCUGUAGUCUAACCGUAAGGAGGACGCAGCCGAAGGUGGGGUUAGUGAUUGGGGUG